GUGGCUACAUCCUGCAAGAGGUAGCAAGGACUUCUCCCAGUCCCAGGCAGGCACUGUGAGUGGCAUGGCUCCCUCAGAGGACUCCAGGGACUGCAGAACCAGCCUCAAAGACACCGGCCUAGAGACCAGCUCUGGUAAGAGGUGGCACAGGGCACCUCAGCCCUGGAGAAAGAUCAGCUUCGGUAAAGGGGAGGUGGGCAGGCCAGGUGGGGUCUGACGACAGACACCCCACAGUGGAGUGGGGGACUUCACGUAUUGCCUGAAUUGACCAGCUGACCAGAACAUAAGCUUUCUUCUGAGUCCAUGGCGUGGUGAAGAGUGAAGAAUUAAGAGAACGGGCAUGUUGUUUGGUUCACCUGAAAAGUUAGUUUUUUAAGAGAACAGACUGUGGUUUUAGAUAGACCAGCUCUGACUCUUGCUUUAUCGAUAAUUGAUUUUUUCGUUCACUCUUCUACCACCUAAUAGGCUCUGAGCUAGGGAGAAGGUGGGGUACAACAGUUAGAGUAGGGAUCCCCAAGUAGAUGACACCAGGUGUGGAUAGGACUCUCUGAGGCCAUGGACAAAAGUAUGUGUGGGGAGAAGCCAGGUGUGAGGGUGCAUACCUAUAAUCCCAGGGAUUUGGGAGGCUGAGGCAAGAGGAUCCCAAGUUAAAAGCCUGUCUCAGAAACUUAGCAAAACCCUGUCUCAAAAUAAAAAGGGCUAUAGCUCAUUGGUAGUGCACCCUCUGGAUUCAAUCCCCAAUUCCACAAAUAAAAUUAAAUUUAAAGGGCUGGGGAGCCGGGCACAGUGGCGAAUGCCUGUAAUCCCAGCAUCUAGGGAGGCUGAUUCAGGAGAGAGUUCAAAGCCAGCCUCAGCAAAAGUGAGGCACUAAGCAACUCAGUGGGACCCUGUCUCUAAAUAAAAUACUUUAAAAUAGGGCUGGGGAUGUGGCUCAGUGGUCGAGUGUCCCUGAGUUCAAUCCUUGGUACCACAAAGAAAAUAACAUUUAAAGGCCUGGGGUAUAACAGCUCAGUGGUAGACUGUUUGCCUAGCAUGCAUGAACCCCUGGAUUUAAUCCCCAAUACUGCAAAAAAUGUUUGAAAUAUGAAAAGAUUGUGUGGGGGUGGGGGGCAGUACGUGGAGCAGCACAGUGUGUCCCAAGAACCACCAACACCCACAUGAAUUAAGCUCCAGUUUCCUCACCUCUAUGAGGUGGCCCUGGCCUUCCUCUUGAUUGAGGACCCUGCUAUUCUCAGUGUGCUCCAUGGACCAACAGACGCAGCCUCUCUUGGGAGUCUGUUAGAAGGGCAGAAUCUCAGCCCCCACCCCCACGAGCUGCACUCUAACAAGGUCCCUGGGCAGUUCACGUGCACAGUAAAGUGGAGGAGCCCCCAUGUGCUCAACUUGGGGCUCCAAGGUGGUGAUGAAGACAGGGUUUGGGCUGGGGGUGCAACAGAGCCGUAGAUUGCUUUCCCAGUGUGUGCAAGGCCCCAGGUUCCACCCCAAGCACCACCAAAAACACAUAGAGUAAAAAUAAAUCCAUGACCCCAUAUUCUGAACCCCCAGCUGUCCUGUCACGUGGGUCACUUAAGUCCUACAGAACAGAUGAAAGAAUGCAUUGGGAGACCUCGUCCCUGGCUGUGCCAACACCAACCUUGGUCUUUUCCUUCCUUCUAGGUGGGAAGUGGGCCUGCUGUCACAAGGCCAUCCCUACGGCUCACAUGACUUUCGUUAUUGACUGUGUCCGUGGGAAACAGCUCUCCCUAGCAGCUCCCCCAGUGCUGCCCCAAGUCCCCAGCCCCAGCCAGGGACCUGUCACUCUGCCAAUGAAGACCUAUAUUGUGUUCUGUGGGGAAAACCAGCCCCAAUCAGCUUUGGACAUCCCCUUGGGUGGGGGGUGCCUUGCCCAGGCCAAGGAUGCCCUGCCACCCCGCCCACCCCGCAGAGGGGCUGUGGACCCCUCUUCCCCCCCAGAUAGCCCACCCUGCCCCCAGGGAACUCCUAAAGCCAAGGGGAGGCCCCUGAAGACUGGGCCUGCGAGGUCUUCAACCUGGGGGACAGUCAAGGGCUCCCUCAAAGCCCUCUCUUCCUGUGUCUGUGGGCAGACGGAUUAACGGGAAGGGCCGGGCUGUGGGAGGAGGGGUUGGCAUGCCAGGUUCCAGUGCUCAAGGGCUGUGACUCCCAGGCCAGCCUCCCGUCCCCUGGGCCCACUAAAGGACAAAAGAAUCAGCCAACCGGUGCACAUCUGCCUCCUCCAUCCUUCCCAUCCCUGCCAGCUUUUCAACAGAGGCCGACCAGGACCCCCCUGCAGGGAAAGAGAUUCAUCGUUCACCCAGCAGAUACUAAAGGAGCAUCUUCUAUGUGCGGCCCUGGGCAAGGCCCGGGACAUCGUUCUGGUUUUCACAAAGCUUCUAUUCUUGGGGCAGGAGGCGGGAAGAAGGGUUAAACAAGCAAGCCAAUAAAUA
rnacentral:lncRNA from 1 species